rnacentral:rRNA from 1 species
CCUACGGGAGGCAGCAGUGGGGAAUAUUGCGCAAUGGGCGAAAGCCUGACGCAGCGAUGCCGCGUGAGGGAUGAAGGUCUUCGGAUCGUAAACCCCUGUCAGCAGGGAAGAACGGUCUCUGUUCUAUUCAGCUGUGAAUUGACGGUACCUGCAAAGGAAGCACCGGCUAACUCCGUGCCAGCAGCCGAGGUAAUACGGAGGGUGCGAGCGUUAAUCGGAAUUACUGGGCGUAAAGCGCUCGUAGGCGGUAUGUCAAGUCAAGUGUGAAAUCCACGGGCUUAACGUGGGAACUGCAUUUGAAACUGGCCAGCUGGAGUGUUGGAGAGGAGAGUGGAAUUCCAGGUGUAGGAGUGAAA